UGCAAUGACACCCCAGGAAAACUCUGCACUUGCAGCUCAGGAAGCCGAGCAUCCUUGUUCGUGGUGCACAUUGACGCAGGAGCUUCUGUGAUGCUCAGGGCAACAGAGAGUCGGUGAUGUGCGCUGUCGGUCAGAGCUGAGGAGGCAACUUGGCUAAAGUGACAUUAGGAGAGGGUGUAGACAGUGGAAUCUGCUUAAGGGAGGACAUAGGACAACACCUCUCUGAGACAGCUGAGUGUCUUAUCUAGAAGAGUUCAUCAGAUUGAGUUAAUUCACCGUCAUUAAGUAGAUGACCUAAUCCUGUCCAGGACAGCACACUUCAGGGGCUCCCCCUGAGCUAUGGUACUGUGACAGCCCACUCCUUCAGGUGGGGUGACCUGUGCAGACCCCUGGGCCUGGAGUCUGUCAUCAUUUCCCGGAUGGUUCUGGUCAUCCCUCCCCACCAAACUAAUUCCUACUUGCUUAGGGCCACCAGGACGUCCUGGCAUCCUUCAUUUAGUUCUUCUGACCAUGGGAACCAUUACAGCAGGUUUCCCAGCUGAGUGCUGGCCCUUGUGAGGCUGCACUCCGAUACCUUCCUGGGGUGCCUCCCCCUCUUUGCAUAUGUGCUGUCUGGGAUAGUCAGGAUCAGGGACUCUGUCCCCUGGCAAAUGGAAUCAUGUUUUUACAGACCUCCGGAAAACAUUGUGAUGAAUUAAGUAUAAAUGAAUAAAAAAUAUAAUGAUUGGAUUUUCCUGGAAAUACACAUGGGCUAAAAAAGGAAGGGAGGGGAAAAUGUCCACCCAAGAUCCUUAAGAAAGAUUUGGAAUGUGUUGCCAAGAAAUGACAAUCUCUUUUUCCAACAUUCAAAUGUCAUUCAAAUUCUCUGCUGUUGGGGAGGAAAAGUUUUGCUCCACCCUUCAAGGCUCUUCUAGCUGGUCUAAGAAUUGAAUCUUCAUGAGACAGACGAACAGGAGAGCAAAGGUUGAGGGCCCAGCGAUGGAGACCCAUAGGCACGAGGUCCAGAGACAGUCAGGGACAACCAGGCACUUGCCAAAAAACGUCUGAUACUCAGUUGCUCUUCUCCACCCAAAAGUGCAACUUUAUCAAUUCCGUUAACUAAGAUCCAGUCUUUCCUGCCACUUGUGAACUAAAGGGGCACCUGGAGUCUCAUAGCAACAGCCACAGAGCAACGGGAGGCAGCAGUUGCAGGGCCCAGGAGGAGGCUCCCCUGUGGGACGAGGUGCUCUUCCUGGAGUGAAGGUGUGCGUGGUCUCCUGAACUGUGAUUGCUGCAUCACACGGUGCAUUACGAAUUCUUCCAAGGCUCUUGAUUUAUGUUCUGGGUCACGUGGCGGAACGUCCUGAUGUGUGUCCCCGGCAGCGAGACCGAGGACUCUGAGUCCGGCCUGCAGCCGUGCUCUGCCCCAGCGCUGCUGGGGGCUCACACUUGGAUCAGCAAAAAAGAGGGAGACGGGGAGAGGGCGGCCUUCUACUUUUCAUCAUUCUGACUAUUGGCUGGUUUGAACACUGAAAAUGCAUUCACUGGCCUUUUCUUUUUCCAUAAAUUGUAUCUUCCUGACCUUUGACUCUUUUAUAUUGAAUUCAAAUCUUUUUUAUCACUGAUUCGUAAAGCCUCUUUAUAUAAGACUGUUGACCCACGUUUGGCACACUUACGGUACAUUUCCCCCUGGUUUACUAUUUGCAUUUUACGUUUUUAAUAGUAUUUCAUAUUUAUAGGGGCAUAAAUCUACCAAUGUUCUCCCUUUUGCUUUUUUUUCCAUUAUUUUUAUAUUCAGAA